AUUGAACGCUGGCGGCAUGCCUUACACAUGCAAGUCGAACGGUAACAGGUCUUCGGAUGCUGACGAGUGGCGAACGGGUGAGUAAUACAUCGGAACGUGCCUAGUAGUGGGGGAUAACUACUCGAAAGAGUGGCUAAUACCGCAUGAGAUCUACGGAUGAAAGCAGGGGAUCGCAAGACCUUGUGCUACUAGAGCGGCCGAUGGCAGAUUAGGUAGUUGGUGGGAUAAAAGCUUACCAAGCCGACGAUCUGUAGCUGGUCUGAGAGGACGAUCAGCCACACUGGGACUGAGACACGGCCCAGACUCCUACGGGAGGCAGCAGUGGGGAAUUUUGGACAAUGGGCGCAAGCCUGAUCCAGCAAUGCCGCGUGCAGGAUGAAGGCCUUCGGGUUGUAAACUGCUUUUGUACGGAACGAAAUCCUGUCGAUUAAUACUCGGUGGGGAUGACGGUACCCAAAGAAUAAGCACCGGCUAACUUCGUGCCAGCCGCCGCAGUAAAAC
rnacentral:rRNA from 1 species